rnacentral:rRNA from 1 species
AGAGUUUGAUCAUGGCUCAGGAUGAACGCUGGCGGCGUGCUUAACACAUGCAAGUCGAACGGAAAGGCCCAAGCUUGCUUGGGUACUCGAGUGGCGAACGGGUGAGUAACACGUGGGUGAUCUGCCCUGCACUUCGGGAUAAGCCUGGGAAACUGGGUCUAAUACCGGAUAGGACGAUGGUUUGGAUGCCAUUGUGGAAAGUUUUUUCGGUGUGGGAUGAGCUCGCGGCCUAUCAGCUUGUUGGUGGGGUAAUGGCCUACCAAGGCGUCGACGGGUAGCCGGCCUGAGAGGGUGUACGGCCACAUUGGGACUGAGAUACGGCCCAGACUCCUACGGGAGGCAGCAGUGGGGAAUAUUGCACAAUGGGCGCAAGCCUGAUGCAGCGACGCCGCGUGGGGGAUGACGGCCUUCGGGUUGUAAACUCCUUUCGCUAGGGACGAAGCGUUUUUGUGACGGUACCUGGAGAAGAAGCACCGGCUAACUACGUGCCAGCAGCCGCGGUAAUACGUAGGGUGCGAGCGUUGUCCGGAAUUACUGGGCGUAAAGAGCUCGUAGGUGGUUUGUCGCGUCGUUUGUGUAAGCCCGCAGCUUAACUGCGGGACUGCAGGCGAUACGGGCAUAACUUGAGUGCUGUAGGGGAGACUGGAAUUCCUGGUGUAGCGGUGGAAUGCGCAGAUAUCAGGAGGAACACCGAUGGCGAAGGCAGGUCUCUGGGCAGUAACUGACGCUGAGGAGCGAAAGCAUGGGUAGCGAACAGGAUUAGAUACCCCGGUA